AGGACGAACGCUGGCGGCGUGCUUAACACAUGCAAGUCGAGCGGAAAGGCCUUUCGGGGUACUCGAGCGGCGAACGGGUGAGUAACACGUGAGUAGUCUGCCCAUCGCUUCAGGAUAGCCAUCGGAAACGGUGAUUAAUACUGGAUAUGACAUUCCUUCGCAUGUUGGGGUGUGGAAAGUUUUUUCGGCGGUGGAUGUGCUCGCGGCCUAUCAGCUUGGUUGGUGGGUAAUGGACCUACCAAGGCUUUGACGGGUAGCCGGCUGAGAGGGUGACCGGCCACGACUGGGACUGGAGACACGGCCCAGACUCCUACGGGAGCAGCGAGUGGGAAUAGUUGGAACAAGUGGGACGGUAAGCCUGACUCCGAGCAACGCCGCGUGAGGG
rnacentral:rRNA from 1 species